GACGAACCGUCCGAACGUUGUUCGGAAUCACUGGGCUUAAAGGGCGCGUAGGCGGGCUAUCAAGUCCGGGGUGAAAUCCUCCAGCUUAACUGGAGAACGGCCUCGGAUACUGAUGGUCUCGAGGAAGAUAGGGGCACGCGGAACUGUGGGUGGAGCGGUGAAAUGCGUUGAUAUCCAUAGGAACUCCGGUGGCGAAGGCGGCGUGCUGGAUCUUUUCUGACGCUGAGGCGCGAAAGCCAGGGGAUCGAACGGG
rnacentral:rRNA from 1 species